AUGGUAACAUCUUUUCAGCUGAAAACUGCGUUGAAGCAAGUCCAACAGGGGGCUUUAACUGGAAUGACAUGUCUUGUCUUGUUAAAUGCCAGUCCAUAUGCCAAGCAAAGUGGACAGGUAGACGUCAGAAGAUUUACGACCUACCUGACUGCGGUGACCACGGGGGGAAGGGACACGGACAAUCCUGCUACGUUUACAGAUCCGACAAACUCACGUGGAAAGAAGCAAA